rnacentral:tRNA from 1 species
GCCGGAGUGGCGAAAUUGGCAGACGCCCGGGACUUAAAAUCCCGUGGGACCCUAAUCCCGUACCGGUUCGAGCCCGGUUUCCGGCACCA